UUAAACUGAAGAGUUUGAUCAUGGCUCAGAUUGAACGCUGGCGGCAGGCCUAACACAUGCAAGUCGAGCGGUAACAGGGGUAGCUUGCUACCCGCUGACGAGCGGCGGACGGGUGAGUAAUGCAUAGGAAUCUGCCCGAUAGUGGGGGAUAACCUGGGGAAACCCAGGCUAAUACCGCAUACGUCCUACGGGAGAAAGGGGGCUUCGGCUCCCGCUAUUGGAUGAGCCUAUGUCGGAUUAGCUAGUUGGUGAGGUAAUGGCUCACCAAGGCAACGAUCCGUAGCUGGUCUGAGAGGAUGAUCAGCCACAUCGGGACUGAGACACGGCCCGAACUCCUACGGGAGGCAGCAGUGGGGAAUAUUGGACAAUGGGCGAAAGCCUGAUCCAGCCAUGCCGCGUGUGUGAAGAAGGCCCUCGGGUUGUAAAGCACUUUCAGCGAGGAAGAACGCCUAGU
rnacentral:rRNA from 2 species